UGAAGGUGGGUUCACUAUUUUCGCAGCGGGGUGUGAAGGACAGUUCAGCUCCUGAACCCCACAAUUACUCAACAGGCUUUUGGAGCCUGACCGGUUUCCGAAGACAGAAUCUGGACGACUAGGACAUUUUCUUUCGGCACUCAGAGGCAACAGCAUUGUGUCUGGUUUAAGCAGGUGAGCUCUUCAAACACAGGGCACGGGCAAGUAUGAAGCCUGAACACAGAACGGUAGCCACAAGACAGUGGACCAGAGUGCCGUGGCCUACCGCACUAGGUCUACAGCCAAGAAGAAGAGGAUGUCUCAGAGGAGUAUGAGCACACCAUCAUUCCAGAAGCGGAGGAGGAGGAGGCCUUCUCCCCAGGCUCUGGGGAACAUUGUGGGCUGCUGAUUUUCUCAUGGAUGUAAGAGACUCCUCCAGCAGAGGUGAAGUCAGACGUUUACAGCGACAUCUUAACAGGUCAAUGUGUGCAGUUCACCAGAAGCGACAGGUCCAAAAAGAUCGGCAAAGUCAUUUACCAAGUUCCAGCCACGCCUUCCGUGUACUUGAUCAUGUUUGAUGGUGACGUCCACAUCUACGUCUAUAAUGUGUUGGAUAAGAUCUGUUAAGAUACCCAAGGGCCUUUGACAACCCCAGUAUCAUUUCCAGUGGAAUUUGGUUUUGCUCUAAAAAUUAAAAUGUGCGAUGUGACGUGUUGUGUGUGCACACUUUGGUGGAGGAGACGGGCUGUGGUGGAUGGAACAUGGAGAGGAA